rnacentral:rRNA from 1 species
GAUGAACGCUGGCGGCGUGCCUAAUACAUGCAAGUCGAACGCAUUGUGGUUGAAAUGAUAUGAAGAACUUGUUCAGAUUUGAUUUUCAACAUUGCAAUGAGUGGCGAACGGGUGAGUAACACGUGGGAAACCUACCUCUUAGCAGGGGAUAACAUUUGGAAACAAAUGCUAAUACCGUAUAAUAAUUAAAACCGCAUGGUUUUAGUUUAAAAGAUGGUCUUGCUAUCACUAAGAGAUGGUCCCGCGGUGUAUUAGUUAGUUGGUGAGGUAAUGGCUCACCAAGACAAUGAUACAUAGCCGAGUUGAGAGACUGACCGGCCACAAUGGGACUGAGACACGGCCCAUACUCCUACGGGAGGCAGCAGUAGGGAAUCUUCCACAAUGGACGAAAGUACUGAUGGAGCAACGCCGCGUGUGUGAUGAAGGGUUUCGGCUCGUAAACACUGUUGUAAGAGAAGAAUGACAUUGAGAGUAACUGUUCAAUGUGUGACGGUAU